rnacentral:lncRNA from 1 species
UCAUAUGUUCCAGGACAGGAACCUGGUCAGGAGUACAUUUAAGCACCUACUAUUCUCAAUUAUGAGAAUUGCUAGAGUCCCAGAAUCUGUUCAACUUUACCAGGUUUACGGUCUGGUAGCAUGGUUCACUGCCCCACAUGUUACCAGCUGAGUAAAAUCACACAGCAAACAUCUCUGUACAGGGUGGCUGUUGUUUGUUCUAGCCUUUUUUUUUUUUAACCUUCUCUAUCUUCACUUAUGCUGUUUCAACUAUGUCCCCUAACUUUAUUUCCAUAAUAUACUUAGAUUAUUUUCAUUUUUCUUCAUGUAUUUGUUCAUUACAUACUGUCUGGCUUCAUAAGUCUCCCCUCCCCUCUUUACAAUUAAGUUUAUUUGGGGUGUGUGUGUGUGUGUGCAUGUGUUUAUGUGUGCAUGCAUGUGAGUGUACAUGCGUGUGUAUAUGUGUGUAUGUACACUCAUAUAUGCCAUGGCAAACUUACAGAUAUCAGAGGAAAACUUGUAGGAAUUUCUUUUCUCCUCCCACCAUGUUAGUCAUAGAGAUCAAACUUGGAUUUUCCGGCUUUGUAGCAGUUGCCUGUUCCCAUUUCUCCAUCUCUCCUACCCUUUUAACAACUACUACACAACUACUGCUGCUACUGCUGCUACUGCUGUUGCUUCUUCUUCUUCUUCGCCUCCUCCAACUCCUCCUCCUCCUCCUCUUCCUGGUCCUCCUCCUUUUUCUUUUUCUUGUUUUGAUUUUUGAUUUUUUGGUUUUUUGUUUGUUUUGUUUUGUUUUUCAAGAAAGAGCUUCUCUGUAUAGGCCUGGUUGUCCUGGAAUUCAUUCUGGCAUCCAGAUUGGCCUUGAGCUUAGCUAUCCUACCUACCCCCACCUCCUAAGUGGAUCCACCACUACCACCCAGUCCCUUUUAACUUCUUUAACUCGUGCUGCUUUCUAGGUUUCAUUAUGACGAAGAAUUCCUUCCAGGGUCUGCCCUUGGACUUACCAUGGUUUCCCAGGCACUUUUAUGCACCCUUUCUCACCAUCAUCUUCCCUUCUUAGUAAAUGUUCCUGGAUAUUGCUGUGUUAGGCUUGCCUUUUCUUAGACUGGAACCAUAAGGAAGAGAGGCUAGGUUGUGUAUUGCACAGCCUCUUUCUAAAACAGUGCUUGGUGCUUCCCAAGUGUUGGAAGAUCACUAGAUGAAUUAAGACCGUUAAUAAGCAAUUCACCUUAGCUAAUGAUUCUUUGACUCAAGCAGUUUCACCUGGUUUCAUUGACAACUUGUAAACAACAAACAGGAACUUGCUUCUUCCUCUUUAUUUCCUCCCUUCCAUUGCUUUUUACCAUCGUAGUAAUCAUAUAUUCUAGCAAACAAGGGUUCAACGUGAGCAGCUCUAGAUAAACAUUACUAUAAUUUAUAACAGCAUCUUUUCAUAUUUUUAUCUCUAAUGGAAUAGAAGAUAGGUCUUUCAACUCUAUGUUUUGUGUACUAACUCAAGAGUUUUAGAGCAAGUGUCUUACAUGUUUAAAUCACAGUCUAAUGCCUAUCCUGUACCUUAAGAAAUUUUAUACCAAGAAUUCUUGAGGUGUAAACAUAGUCAUUUCAGCUGUUUAGAAAACUCUAACAGAUAGAUCACCUUCAAAGGCUGCUUGGGCAACGUGUUGAGAAUUGAUAUUAAAAAUGUAAAAGGAGGUUCUUCUAAAGUGGCUUAGUUGGAUGAAUGCUUGCCAAACAUGCAUGGAGAUUUGGAUUUGGUCCCCAGAAAUUGUGUAAAAUGUCAAGCCUAGUGGUGCUUGCUUGUACUGCCAGCUCUGUGGUGGCAAAGACAGGCAGAGCUUGUAAGGUCAUUGGCCACCCAGAAUCAGUAAAUCUCAGUUUCAUUUGAAAGUCCCUGUGGUGGAGUGAAUGAGAAUAGCUCCCAGAGGCUCAUAUAUUGUGCUGGUUGUUCCAUAGUGGGCAGAACUAUUUGGGACAGUUCUGCGGUUUUAGAACCCAAUACCAUACUAGUGGAGCAUACCAUUUUAUCCCUCUUUGCCUGCCUCCAACUUUCAGAUACAGUGUAGCCUCUCAGCUACUUUUCUAAGUGCCAUGGCAUUGCAUGGGUGCUGCCAUACUCUCUACCAUGAUGGCCAUGGGCUCACCAUCAGAAAUAGUUAGCAAGACCCCAACUGAAUUUUUGUUUAAUAAGCUCCCUUGGUCAUAGUGACUCUUCAUAGCAGUAUAAAAGUAACUAAGACAAUCCCCUGUUUCAAUAAAACAAGGAGGAUGGUUCUUAAGAAUAACAUCAGUGGUUGUCUCCUGGUACAUACACAUGUACACAAACACAUAAGCAGAAUUUCUACUAUCCUCACUCACCCCACAGAACAGAAAGACACAGACAGAGGGAGACAGAGACAGACACAUACACAAACACAGAGUCCCAGACAGACAAGAGAACAACGGUUAUAGUUUAUGGUAGAAUAUUCGCUUAGGAUGUACAAAGCCCUAAGUGUACAAUACUUAGGGAAAUAGUGAGGAAAUAGUACCAUUACCCUUGCCCAUCUCUCUCUUACCUUCUCUUCUAUGAAAUGUUCUUCUAUUUGCAUUACUAUGCCCACUGCUAGCCAUUCAUGCUUCUCUGUUAUAAAAUUAUAGGGGCUGGUACAAGGGCUAUAUUGUGGUUUUCUCAUGCAGUCAAUAUUAUAGGAAGCUUUUAUUAGGUUUAGUGGAACAAAUGGUGACUCCAUAAAUGAACAAAGAAUUCAAUAUUUCAUUCAUUCAUCAUAUUUAAAAUUAGUAGUGUUGUGAAUAGAUUAAGGACAAUUGGAAAAUUUCCCUACAGAGAAUAAGUCUCCCAAAGAAGUAAUUGGGUGGCUGUAUCUAUUUCAAUAUGUGUUCCAACCACUGGUAUGAAUUCAGUAAUAUUUGUAUCUUUAAAGACUCAGGUUGCAACUACUUAUGGUAUAUGGUUUAAAGUAGCCUACUGUAUGUGUUGAAUAUAGAUAAUUUUUCAUAAUCUUUCAGCUGACAUUCUGGUUUUUUGUCUUGUUUUGUUUUGUUUGACACAUGGGCUUCCCAUGUGGCUCAACCAGCUCAAACUUAUAAUCCCUUUGUGUCAGCCUCGGAGAGCUAGGAUUACAGGCAUGCGCUGUCAUUUUUGGCUUGUUAUACAUUCUCGUUUAGCAAAAGUCUGAGCCUUGCGGUUUCAUUGACAUUUUUUUUUGCAUGUGAACUUUCAAAUCUCUUAAGACAAAAAUCCUUUACAAAACCCUAGCUUUCAUGUGCUUGCCAAACCAAUGAUGAGAACUGUUUACCUCCUAGAAUAUAAAUCUUAUCACGUGUGUCUAUAUUUGUGGAUAGUUACAGCAUGAUUGAAGUCUCUGUGGGAACUGUGGAUUUCGUGUCAGCCACUUGUGAAAACACUAUGAUUCCUUGGCAUGUGACAAAUUUUGGCUAAUUUAAUGUCCUGGUUGCUAAAGAUAGUUCAUGGUGAUUAAAAUAUGUAAUUGCAUCUAAAUUAUGAGCAUAAAUUAUCAUGGCAUUGUAAAAGCUUGAGUGUUAGGGCUGACAGAGGCUUCCUGUCCAUUAUCUGGCUCAUAGCCAUUUCCAUUUUUUUCCCUUGAAUUAAUAGAAAUUAUUUUACUUAGUGUGAAAAAUCAAAUAAUGAUAUGCUAGGAGUGUGGUCUGUCCUAGAGGGUGUUUUCAUGUCCCCAUGCUGUGAACAGUCUCCCUUUCUAUCCUGGCUGCUUUUGUCUGAAGCCAUUAUAUCCCCUCCAGAUGGGUGCAUGGAUUUUGCCAUCCCCCACCAUCCUUCCUAGUUUUUAGGUCAACUUGGUAUAGUAUAGAGUCAUUGAGAGGAGGGAACUGCAACUG